rnacentral:lncRNA from 1 species
UAUAUGUUGAUUGUUGAUUUAUAGUUUAUUUUAUAUUGAGUAAAAUCUGCUUUGCUCAUUUCUUUCUAUUGAAUUUUUUGUUUUGUUCUUUUUGUUUUUUCUUUUCUUCUUUUUUAAGAUUAUCUUGGCUAUGUUUUUUGACUAUAUGCAUUUUCAUAUGCAUUUGAGAGCAAACUUGAAAUUUCCCUAAGGAAACUGGGAAUUCUGUUUAAGAUGGUAUCAAAUUU